CCUACGGGGAGCAGCAGUGAGGAAUAUUGGUCAAUGGACGAGAGUCUGAACCAGCCAAGUAGCGUGAAGGAUGACUGCCCUAUGGGUUGUAAACUUCUUUUAUAUGGGAAUAAAAUGUUCCACGUGUGGGAUUUUGUAUGUACCAUAUGAAUAAGGAUCGGCUAACUCCGUGCCAGCAGCCGCGGUAAUACGGAGGAUCCGAGCGUUAUCCGGAUUUAUUGGGUUUAAAGGGAGCGUAGGUGGAUUGUUAAGUCAGUUGUGAAAGUUUGCGGCUCAACCGUAAAAUUGCAGUUGAAACUGGCAGUCUUGAGUACAGUAGAGGUGGGCGGAAUGCGUGGUGUAGCGGUGAAAUGCUUAGAUAUCACGAAGAACUCCGAUUGCGAAGGCAGUUCACUGGACUGCAACUGACACUGAGGCUCGAAAGUGUGGGUAUCAAACAGGAUUAGAUACCCUGGUAGUC
rnacentral:rRNA from 1 species